rnacentral:rRNA from 1 species
UUGUGUGAAUACAUAGCACAUUCGAGGUAGACGCAGAGAACUGAAACAUCUAAGUACCUGCAGGAAGAGAAAGAAAAUUCGAUUCCCUGAGUAGCGGCGAGCGAAACGGGAAAAGCCCAAACCAGCAAGCUUGCUUGUUGGGGUUGUAGGACUCCAAUAUGGUAGUUCUUUCAGAUAGUCGAAUGACUUGGAAAAGUCAGUCAAAGAGGGUAAAAACCCCGUAGACGAAAUGUGGAAGACACCUAGGAGGAUCCUGAGUACGGCGGAACACGAGAAAUUCCGUCGGAAUCCGGGAGGACCAUCUCCCAAGGCUAAAUACUCCCUAGUGACCGAUAGUGAACCAGUACCGUGAGGGAAAGGUGAAAAGCACCCCGGAAGGGGAGUGAAAUAGAACCUGAAACCGUGUGCCUACAACAAGUCAAAGCCCGUUAAUGGGUGAUGGCGUGCCUUUUGUAGAAUGAACCGGCGAGUUACGAUUGCAUGCGAGGUUAAGUUGAAGAGACGGAGCCGCAGCGAAAGCGAGUCUGAAUAGGGCGUUUGAGUAUGUAGUCGUAGACCCGAAACCAUGUGAUCUA